CGAGUGGCGGACGGGUGAGUAAUGUCUGGGAAACUGCCUGAUGGAGGGGGAUAACUACUGGAAACGGUAGCUAAUACCGCAUAACGUCGCAAGACCAAAGAGGGGGACCUUCGGGCCUCUUGCCAUCGGAUGUGCCCAGAUGGGAUUAGCUAGUAGGUGGGGUAACGGCUCACCUAGGCGACGAUCCCUAGCUGGUCUGAGAGGAUGACCAGCCACACUGGAACUGAGACACGGUCCAGACUCCUACGGGAGGCAGCAUG
rnacentral:rRNA from 1 species